rnacentral:rRNA from 1 species
CGGUGUUUAACUGGCGUGAUGUGGGACGUCCUACCGGUGGGCUUAGCCUCGCGAGGGGCGGCCCAACUAAUAUCCCGUCGCGGUGCUCUUUACUGAGUGUCGAGUCGGGCCGGUACGUUUACUUUGAACAAAUUAGAGUGCUUAAAGCAGGCUAUCCUCGCCUGAAUACUGCGUGCAUGGAAUAAUGGAAUAGGACCUCGGUUCUAUUUUGUUGGUUUUCGGAACCCCGAGGUAAUGAUUAAUAGGGACAGAUGGGGGCAUUCGUAUUGCGACGUUAGAGGUGAAAUUCUUGGAUCGUCGCAAGACGGACAGAAGCGAAAGCAUUUGCCAAAAAUGUUUUCAUUAAUCAAGAACGAAAGUUAGAGGUUCGAAGGCGAUCAGAUACCGCCCUAGUUCUAACCAUAAACGAUGCCAGCUAGCGAUCCGCCGAAGUUCCUCCGAUGACUCGGCGGGCAGCUUCCGGGAAACCAAAGCUUUUUGGGUUCCGGGGGGAAGUAUGGUUGCAAAGCUGAAACUUAAAGGAAUUGACGGAAGGGCACCACCAGGAGUGGAGCCUGCGGGCUUAAUUUGACUCAACACGGGAAACCUCACCAGGCCCAGACACCGGAAGGAUUGACAGAUUGAUAGCUCUUUCUUGAUUCGGUGGGUGGUGGUGCAUGGCCGUUCUUAGUUGGUGGAGCGAUUUGUCUGGUUAAUUCCGAUAACGAACGAGACUCUAGCCUGCUAAAUAGGCGUACCUUAUGGUAUCGCGAAGGCCCCCGGCUUCGGCCGGUGGGUUUUUACUACCAACGUACAAACAAAUCUUCUUAGAGGGACAGGCGG